GUGGGGAAUUUUCCGCAAUGGGCGAAAGCCUGAUCCAGCCAUGCCGCGUGAGUGAUGACGGCCUUAGGGUUGUAAAGCUCUUUCGCACGCGACGAUAAUGACGGUAGCGUGAGAAGAAGCCCCGGCUAACUUCGUGCCAGCAGCCGCGGUAAUACGAAGGGGGCUAGCGUUGUUCGGAAUCACUGGGCGUAAAGGGUGCGUAGGCUGGUUCUUAAGUCAGGGGUGAAAUCCCGAGGCUCAACCUCGGAACUGCCUUUGAUACUGGGGAUCUUGAGUCCGGAAGAGGUGAGUGGAACUGCGAGUGUAGAGGUGAAAUUCGUAGAUAUUCGCAAGAACACCGGUGGCGAAGGCGGCUCACUGGUCCGGAACUGACGCUGAGGCACGACAGCGUGGGGAGCAAACAGG
rnacentral:rRNA from 1 species